GACCUAGUAGCACACGGUGUGCCCUGCAAUGUUUUAACAAAAACGUCCCCACCAUCUGUAAUGCAGAAACUCCUGGUUCGACUCCAGGCUGGGUCA